rnacentral:rRNA from 1 species
GUGGGGAAUCUUGCACAAUGGGGGCAACCCUGAUGCAGCGACGCCGCGUGAGCGAUGAAGCCCUUCGGGGUGUAAAGCUCUUUCGACAGGAACGAUAAUGACGGUACCUGGAGAAGAAGCUGCGGCUAACUACGUGCCAGCAGCCGCGGUAAUACGUAGGCAGCAAGCGUUGUUCGGAGUUACUGGGCGUAAAGAGUAUGUAGGCGGUUUGCUGUGUCUGGUGUGAAAUCUCCUGGCUUAACUGGGAGGGUGCGCCGGAAACUGGCGAGCUAGAGUGCGGGAGAGGGAAGCGGAAUUCCUGGUGUAGCGGUGAAAUGCGUAGAUAUCAGGAGGAACACCUGUGGUGUAGACGGCUUCCUGGACCGUGACUGACGCUGAGAUACGAAAGCGUGGGGAGCAAACAGGAUUAGAUACCCCUGUAGUCC